rnacentral:lncRNA from 1 species
UCUGCACGCUUUACUGCCUCAAGAACUUUCAGUGACCUGAAGGUUUGCUCCUAAUCCUCCAUGUUAUAUUGCUCAAUCAAUUUUCGCCUUCAGUUGGCGAGACACUUAUUUUUUCCAGUAUAUGCUGAUCUGAUUCGACAGCUCAUCUCCGGAGAUUAUUUGAUACUCGAAUCAAUUUUGGCCUUCAGUUGGCGAGACACUUAUUUUUUCCCAGUAUAUGCUGACCUGAUUCGACAGCUCGUGUCUGGAGAUUAUUUGAUACUCUUGAUAGACAUGCACAGCUAUUUUUGAUUUAUUUGCAUGCAAUCCUUAUAUCUGAUCCGCCAUUAUACCUAUUCAUUUCUGUGGAAGAAUCUUCCUGUGGCUUGCAAUCCUGCUAACUGUUAAAGAAUGUUGGAGUUUUCUGUAUAUGAUUCUGUGCAUGUUGAUCUUUUGCUGAUAGGUAUCAUUUAUAUAAGUUAUCCAGUUAUGUGAUAGAACUUCCAUUUGGGAACAAUAAUUAGUGUGCUGGACGAUGGUAUAAGUAACGUCAAAUCUAAAUACAGUCCCUAGUUCUUUAAUUAAUAUGAAAGAAAUACUCUACAAGAAAAAUAACUGAAUAUCUAUAAAGAUCCAAGAAUCAAAAGACUCAUGAUUAUUGUCUCUUUUCACCUAGUCUUCGCUUCAUAGCAUGGUUCGUCAGCUGAUAUCUUUUGUAACUGUGCAAUUGAUGUGUUGCUUGUGUUGGUUGAGAUCAAGUGUAGUAGCUGUUCUUAUCAGUUUUUUCUCUAUGCUCAACACAGUUAAUCUCCAAUAGCUUGUAUUAAU